rnacentral:rRNA from 1 species
AGAGUUUGAUCAUGGCUCAGGAUGAACGCUAGCGGGAGGCUUAAUACAUGCAAGUCGAGGGAGAACUCCGAUUUCGAUUGGAGGGAAACCGGCGCACGGGUGAGUAACACGUACACAACUUGCCCCUAACUGGGGAAUAGCCCUGGGAAAUUGGGAUUAAUACCCCAUAAUAUUGAUGAUUCGCAUGGAUUGUCAAUUAAAGUUCCGGCGGUUAGGGAUAGGUGUGCGUCCCAUUAGCUAGUUGGUGAGGUAACGGCUCACCAAGGCAACGAUGGGUAGGGGGCGUGAGAGCGUGAUCCCCCACACGGGUACUGAGACACGGACCCGACUCCUACGGGAGGCAGCAGUAAGGAAUAUUGGACAAUGGGCGCAAGCCUGAUCCAGCCAUCCCGCGUGCAGGAAGAAGGCCCUAUGGGUUGUAAACUGCUUUUGUCAGGGAAGAAACCUUCGGAUUUAUCCGGAGCUGACGGUACCUGAAGAAUAAGCACCGGCUAACUCCGUGCCAGCAGCCGCGGUAAUACGGAGGGUGCAAGCGUUAUCCGGAAUUACUGGGUUUAAAGGGUGCGUAGGUGGCAUCGUCAGUCGGAAGUGAAAGUUUGCGGCUUAACCGUAAAAUUGCUUUUGAUACUGCGAUGCUUGAAUCAGGUUGAGGUCGGCGGAAUGUGGCAUGUAGCGGUGAAAUGCUUAGAUAUGCCAUAGAACACCAAUUGCGAAGGC